rnacentral:rRNA from 1 species
AACCGUGGUAAUUCUAUGGCUAAUACAUGCGCAAAUAUCCUUUUUCGCAAGAAAGAGGAUAGUGUUUAUUAGAUACAGAACCAAUACACCAUCUGUUUAUCAGGUGGUGUAAAAAAGGUGAUUCAUAGUAACCGAACGGAUCGCAUUAUGGUCAUUUUAUAUGGCUGGCGAUAGAUCAUUCAAGUUUCUGACCUAUCAGCUUUCGACGGUAGUGUAUUGGACUACCGUGGCAGUGACGGGUAACGGGGAAUUAGGGUUCGAUUCCGGAGAGGGAGCCUGAGAAACGGCUACCACAUCUAAGGAAGGCAGCAGGCGCGCAAAUUACCCAAUCCUGACUCAGGGAGGUAGUGACAAGAAAUAACAACACUGGAAAUUUUAUUUCUAGUGAUUGGAAUGAUGGGAAUUUAAACCCCUUUCAGAGUAACAAUUGGAGGGCAAGUCUGGUGCCAGCAGCCGCGGUAAUUCCAGCUCCAAUAGCGUAUAUUAAAGUUGUUGCAAUUAAAAAGCUCGUAGUUGGAUGUCUGCUGGAAACAAUCAGUCCGCCCUAUUUGUAGGGUGUGCACUUGAUGAAUUCUGGCA